AUGGCGGAGCUCUACGUGACACUGGGCAACAAGGAGCGUGGCUGGAACUACCCGCCACAGUUCUCUUACGAAUUGCAGACCCAGGCCUGCAGACCCAAGUGCACUCCGCUCACCAAGAGGGUCGCCGUGCCCCAGGAUGGAUACCCUAGAGUCCCCACCUCAGAGACUUCCCCUGCCCCCGCCAUGAGGCCUCCACUUUCUUCAAGUAAGGCUCCCAGGCCCCCACCUGUGCGCAUUUGUCCUGCCUCUGGUGUGGAGUCCACAAGUUUCCCAGUCAUCAAAUCUGAGGCUGUGAUGGAGGAUGUGCUGAGACCUUUGGAACAGGCAUUGGAGGACUGCCGUGGUCACACGAAGAAGCAAGUACUUGAUGACAUCAGCCGGCGCCUGGCACUGCUGCAGGAACAAUGGGCUGGAGGGAAGUUGUCAAUGCUUGUAAAGAAAAGGAUGGCUCUACUACUGGUACAAGAACUUUCAAGCCACCCGUGGGAUGCAGCAGAUGACAUUCACCGCUCACUCGUGGUUGACCUUGUGACUGAGGUCAGUCAGUGGAUUGUGGGAGUCAAAAGAUUAAUUGCGAAAGAAGGAGUCUGUUUUCAGAGGAGGAAGCCCAUGAAAUGAAUUCUGCGGCUGCAGCUGAGGAGAACCAAACCAUACCAGGUUUUCAACAGGCUCCAUGAUCCUGUGGGUU